rnacentral:sRNA from 1 species
AUUGUUAUUAGGUAACGUUAUACCACGAAUCCAUGAGACAAUUGUUAAAAAACUGAAGUUUUAACCCCUAUUAAAACAUCAUAUUAAUAAUAUUUUAAU